rnacentral:ribozyme from 1 species
UGCCCAGCAACACCUAUCCCUACCACCUCGCGGUAUUUGCCGGGGUACGAGUAACCUUAGGGAAGAUCGGGUAACCAAUCGCGGUUUGAACUUUGGUCGUAUGUUGACAGGGAAGA